rnacentral:rRNA from 1 species
AGCGAACGCUGGCGGCAGGCUUAACACAUGCAAGUCGAACGGUCCUUCGGGAUAGUGGCGGACGGGUGAGUAACACGUGGGAACGUACCCUUAGGUUCGGAACAACACAGGGAAACUUGUGCUAAUACCGGAUAAGCCCUUCGGGGGAAAGAUUUAUCGCCUUUGGAGCGGCCCGCGUCUGAUUAGCUUGUUGGUGAGGUAAUGGCUCACCAAGGCUACGAUCAGUAGCUGGUCUGAGAGGAUGGCCAGCCACACUGGGACUGACACACGGCCCAGACUCCUACGGGAGGCAGCAGUGGGGAAUCUUGCGCAAUGGGCGAAAGCCUGACGCAUCCAUGCCGCGUGGAUGAUGAAGAUCUUAGGAUUGUAAAAUCCUUUCACCGGGGACGAUAAUGACGGUACCCGGAUAAGAAGCCCCGGCUAACUUCGUGCCAGCCGCCGCGGUAA